GACUCGAAACAUCAACUUUGUUCUUCUCCGCCGAUGCUGCCAGACCUGCUGAAUUUUUCCAGGUAGCUGACUCUGCUCUUUGGAAAUUAUGAUGAAGAAUCGAGUGUGUCUCAAACUUUACAGAAAGCACCCUGACAAGGGGGGAAAAAAUCCUAGGAUGAUCUGAUAAACUCACUCACCCUCCAACCACUCUGGUGGAUAUCAGUGUCAAUUACUGUCAGUGUGGGGGAAAAAACUGACUCUCCUUUUGAAACCCUGGCAAGAUAGGUUGAAAGGUUAAUUGUCAGCUUAGAAACACUGACCUGUACUGGACUUCAGCACCUGGACUCUAAAAGCAUCAAGGGGUAUGGAGAGAGAGCGGGAGUAUGGCGUUGAGAUAGAGGAUCAGCCGUGAUCAUAUUGAAUGGCGGAGCAGGCUCAAAGGGCCGAAUGACCUACUCCUGCUCUUAUUUUCUAUGUUUCUAUGAUCGUUGGCAUGUACAUGGGCUAUGGUUCUCCAACACCUUCCAACACCAGAUCUUUGUGGCCAUUCUUCACAGGCUUAUUCAGUGUUGAUCAGGAGGCAACAGCUUUAGGUGGUACCAAUGCUUGGGCCAAUAUUAUUCCCACCCAACAUCCAUGAACACGCACUUUCCAGCAACAAAAUAAAGGAAUUGGCUCUG